AGCGCGGCGGGGCGCGCGGCCAGCCCUGCCCGCGGAGCCGCCGUGAGGGGCUCGCUGCGGGAGCGGUCCCGCUUAGCGGGGCAGGAGGGCCCUGAGGUUCGACCGGGGCUCUCCGCGUGUUCACCGGGGAAGCCGCCGAAAACUUGUAAAGCUUGACAGGGAGAGAGGUGAGGGAGUGAGGCAGCACGCUCUGAACAUGACGUGAUGGACUGCAGCUUGUUCAGGGGAAGGGUAUGGCCUGCUCUGCAGGACUGUCACCAAGAUAGUGAUCUUUGUCAAGAAGAGAGACCCCAAGAUCUGGAAAAAUAGCCAUCUGUGAUGCCUUCAUCCAUUUUUCAAAGAGUUGGAUCCCAGUGAUUCAACUGAGCUGAUCAUUGGCAGGCGAAUUGGAGACCCAUUUACAGAGACAACCUGGAGAUGGAGGAGGUCCAAGAACUAAGCUGGAGAAGAAAACAUGCUUAGAUAAUGUGCUGCACACUGGUGGGAGUGAUGGAGGAGAGAGCUGAGCAAAGACAGCUCAGUUUGGACACAUCUCUGAGGAGCCAGAGUAGAGCUGCCUGCAUUGGAAACGGGUGUGAUGUCUGCAGCACAGGUUACUCUUGGCCAGACUGCUUGUCAGCCAACAGGUGAAUCCCCUUAUUAGGUUUCCGUAGCCGGCACAACCCCUCUAGUUCCCCAGGUGGACUCCCGAUACAGCUGUCAAAAAUCUAGUCUGCCAUGCUUCUGUUCCUUAGGGGUUCUUUCCAGCAUCUGGGAAAACUUUCCUUUCUCCUAUGCAUUCCCUUCCCUGUUAGAGAAGACUAGCGAGUAACUUUUCUGCCAUAGUUUUCCUGAGAGUUGUGACGCUCCUGGAAAGAAACCCUACUGGCUGCCUCUGCUGGUUCCUGCUCCAGCCCUGCUGUUACCCCUGAUAUGACCUCUCUUCAAUCCAUGCUGGAACUGAGGUGACCUGCAUUCAUGGGCAUCUUCAUGCAACUGCACAGGCAGAUAGAUCUCCAUGGCCUUCAUGCCCAAGUGGACUGCAGUCCAACAUCUCCCAUGUAUGCUCCUACCCCAGUCUUCAGUGACAUAACCUGUAUUCCUGAAGUCAUCUAUCUCAGAGGUAUUUUCUGUACAGCAAACAUUUUCUUUUUUAGAGAGGCUAAAAACCCUUCAUCAGUUUUCUUUACAGGGUUAUGUGAGGCAUCGGUAUUGUUUUCACACUGAUUAAAUAUCCAAAGUCUCCUUGAAUGGGGAUGAACCCCAGCAGUCCAUAUGGACCAAAAUUCAUUGGCCUACUCUGUGCACCCCACCCACACACCAUACCCAAACCCCUCACUUUGCCAGAGUUUCAGGACUGCUUCAGAGGGGAGUCAAGAUCCAGAGCAGCCUGGCUGACCUGGGGUUUCUUUCCCAAAAUGCCCCCCUUAUGGCACAACAGAUAUAAGGGGUCUGGUCUCCCAGGCCUGCUGAGAAAGAGCUGGGAGGUGCCAGGGAGACUCCAGCUAUGCCAUAGGAGAUGCAGGGCUUGUUUCUGGACCAGGGAGUCUUCAGUGGCCAGGCCUAAAAAUGCUGACACUUUUACAUUGAUAAAGUAAGUGCAGGAAUAGCUCUUUGCAUUUCAGGUGCAGGGCUGUGUAAGAAUGAGGUCCCUUAUGAAUGUGACAGACCUGGCUGGAGAACCAGGAAGAGGCAGCUACAACCCAGGCUGGUGUAGAGCAGGGAGUGCAGAGGGAGGGAGUUAGCAGUGAGGCAGGAGAGAGGUUUUUGACAUCUUAAACCCAAAUGCAAACACUGCGAGAGGAUCGGAAAUGCAAGAAAGUCAUCAGUCAAUGUGCUCCCUAGGCAGAGAGAAGCAGGACACUAAACAGUCUUAUAAUGCUGAGUGAUAUGGUACUUGUAAAAUAGGCUCAGAUCGGGCUGAAAUGGUCACCAGCCAGAGUGAUCAGAGCUCGGUCAAUACUUGCAGGGGAAAUCCACCACCUCCCCACCACUGUGGGGUGUCCCCAGAGGCACCUCUCACUGGGCCAUACACAUCCUUGUAUGAGGGGUCAAACCAGCUUCCUAAUGGGGCCCUUCACUUUUGUUAACAAUGCUGGGAUGUGAGGAGAGCAGAGAGAUCUGUCUGAUUCACAGGGAUGCUCCCAUACCUGCUUCUGUACCCUCCCACUCACGGAAACUUGGCCCAGCCAAUACAUCUGUGCUGAUCUGCCUUUGCAGACAGCUUGUCCCCUGCAUUUUUAGUUGGUUACUCUGAAAGUCUGAAAAACAACAACUGGUUUUAGUGUUAUCUCUUUUGGAGCCAGCCACUUCCUCUUGGUAUCAAACUUGGAAGAACCCCAUAGCCACUGCUGAAAAGCCUUUUCCCUUUCCACAUUUAAAGAUCUUUUCCAAAAGUGGUUGCUAGGAUGUCUUUGGUGGUGAUUGAAAGGCUUGGAACAAGCCAAUGCAAGUGUUCGUUUUAUUGAAAAUGAGCAGGAUGUUCUUCCCUGAUAGCUGCCUGACUUUGAGGGCUGGAAUCACAGGAAAGCAGCCACAGCUCCAGGGCAGCUUAGCAGAGGAGGAAAGUAAUGGUUUUUCUGUGCUGCAUGGUAACACAAAGGCAGGAAACCAAAGAGCAGGAUUCACUUGGUGUGGAGCAAACCCUGCCAUCCAAAACAGCACUGUUCUGGCUCAGGUGGAUGUAUGUGGAGGCUCCCAGGUGCCUCCCUGAUCUCCAGCUUAGCUGAGCCAGCUGUGCCCAUCCCACAUCCCUGCUGCUGGCAGCCACAGCUGGGGAGGAGCAGGCACUUCUCAACCCACCAUGCUCCCCACCACAAUCUACUUUGGGAGAGAACUGUGAGCAGAUUUUUUAUACUGGAAAGCAGUUAUACAGGCAUUGUAUUUCUUUUUUCAGGGAUAGAAUGAAAACUUCCAAUUCCCAAGCCAUUAGGACAGCACUUUUCAACCAUAAUAGGUAUACAUAAUCAAACAUAGAAGCCAGGCACAGUAUAAAGUUUUCUUUCCCUUUCAAGCAUCCCAUCUCUUCCUGGGACUCCCUCACUAGCAUACAAGGCUAGGCCUGAGAAAUUGCAAGCUGGAAUACAUUAAAAUCCAUUGGAGCUGAAUUUUAACAUGAAGAGUUGCCAAAACAGUACUACCAGCAUGGCUCUAUGAGGCAAACCCUUCCAGAAUGGUUUACUUUCACAAAGUAGUGUUUUCACCAGUCUGGUUUUAAACAGUUUUCUGACAUAAUGAAAUUCCAAGGACUCCUUUGCUGAAUAACCUUGGCAGAUUAAUGUCUUUUCUUAGCUAGGGAGGGAGCAGACAGAAUUCACAUGCCAAACCCCAAAACUCUACAGGAAAACUUCUGCUGAGUGCAAACUGAGCCUCAGUUUGUCAGUGUUUGAGAAGGUACUUUGUAGAUGUCAUGAAGAAGUCCUCAGACUAAAGAUGUGAAUGAGGGCAGGGCACAACUGGUAGAUAAGGUGAUCCUGGCUACAAACCUGCUUCUUCUGCUGCUUUACAGGUCUCCAUAUCUUUAACAGAGAGAGUUAGAGCAAGGACAAAAAUGCUGAACCUCUCCCAGCUCUGGUAGUUGUGGAGAAGCGACAUAGGGGCUUGGAGCACCAGCCUCUGUUAGGUGUAAAUACAAACCACUGAAAAGCAUCAGAACUUUCCCACUGAAGUAAAGGCAUCGGGAACAGGAGAUUAAUGGGUUGCCAGCUGUGUUGGCAUGAUAAGCCAAGCAAGAACCCAGACUCUCAGUCGAAAAUGGAUUGAGACCUCAGCAGGGACACAUGGCAAAUCAGCCAGAAGUCACACAUGGAAAACUGAGCAAGGCAGCAUGGGCAAACAUUCCUUAUCUUCACUUUACGUCAAUAGAAAUGGCAUUGUAAAAGAGGCAGCAAAGUAUUUGCUGGAGAGGAGGAGUGAAAAGUCCACAAACUUUCUUGGCUGUACAUGUAGGUUUUAAAAUGCUACUGUUUUCCUCGGAAACUUGUCAUUGAAAACAAGCAUCCAGCAAAAACCACCCAGCAAGUUCUUCCAGAAGGCUUGUUUGCUUGUUUUGGUGGAUUUAGCUGAGCUGUGCUGGCAGGAAUCUGCCUGCCACUGCUGUUGUGCUCCAAAGGCGGUUGGGAAAGUACAACCUCUUAAACCAGUCUAAAGCACAGCUGUGAUAAUUACACCAUCUACUAUGAUUUGCCACAAAAUAAGAGUCAGGGGAGAGGCAGACCUCAGAAGUCUGGGCUUUCUACAAGGUGAUGUUGUCUGCAGCCACAUCCCUGUUUCCCACAGCUCCUGCUUUUACACUUUUACAGCAGCCUAGCCUAAUUACCUCCAUUGGCCUUUUCUUUGUGUUCUAGUUUUAUUGUUUUUGUUAAGGCUAAUUAACAGAGGAGUGGAUGAGUCCCAGUUUUCUUGUGUAGAUUUUUUUUUUUUUUGGUGGUGGUGGUGUUACUUUUUAUUUUGCUGAGUUUUCCUUUUGCUUUUAAGCAAUUGUAUGUAAGAAAAUAAUCUUUCCUACCAGAGGCAAUACUGAGAAAGAAGAAGACUCAGCAAGGAGAAUAACAAUUAAGGUAAAGCCAUGAGGUUUUGCCUCCUUCUCUCUCCAUUUUGCAGCCCCACCCUGAGUGGGUAAUGGGCCCUGACUGCAACUCUGCUGUCAGUGCCCUGGAGCAGGGAAAGGCACAAAUAUUCCCUCCACACAGGUGUGCAGGUGUCAGUGGGAGGUGAGCUGGGAGAAAAAACAGGCUGGGAUAAACACAGCUGAAGCCUCACAGCCUGGAUCUGUAUGGCCCCUGGAUCCAUCCCUGCCCUGCAGAUCCUUGGGCUGGCCGCUGGUCGGAGCAAAGCUCAUGGCUGGGUUAUGGGUAGGGCUGGGAUCACUGCAGCUGGGUGUCUUAGGGCAGGGCCACCCACUGCACACCGGUGGGGAGCUGCAAAUCCCCACUCCAGAUGCACAGGGCUCUGCAGGGACUUUAGCUGAGUGCCUGGGAGCUGGUUCUGGAAACAUAAAGGUGCUCUGUCAAAAGAUCCAGUUGUUCAGGUAUCAAAGUAAAGAUAUUAAUAAAAUUAACCUCAAAAUAGUGGUAAAACAGUGUAUUUUCAUAUAAUGUCAUAAUUAAGGAACACAGAGUCUCUGUGUUUGCAGUCCCUGACACCAUAGUGAUGGACAUGAUUCAGGAACAGAUACAGAUGACCCAGUAGCUGAGUGACUGAGCAUCUCCCUCUUAACAUACGCAUGGAGAAAAUGAAUGGAAAAACUGGAAUGGAGAAAAUGGAAAAUCCAUGGUGCUGCACUGCUUUCUG